rnacentral:misc_RNA from 1 species
CUGAGUUCAUGCCCUAGCGGGUAGAUCUCCACCCUUGAAUACAAACCAUUGUUGCUUUGGCGGGCCGCUUCGGCUACUGGCUUCGGCUGGUGAGUGCCCGCCAGAGGACCCAAGACUCUGAAUUAUAGUGUCGUCUGAGAAUUAUCAAAUAGUUA